rnacentral:rRNA from 1 species
GACGGAGGGUGCUAGCGUUGUUCGGAUUUACUGGGCGUAAAGGGCGCGUAGGCGGCCUUCUCAGUCGGGUGUGAAAGCCCGGGGCUCAACCCCGGAACGGCACCCGAGACGGGAAGGCUGGAGACCGGGAGAGGAGGGUGGAAUAGCCAGUGUAGAGGUGAAAUUCGUAGACAUUGGCUGGAACACCGGUGGCGAAAGCGGCUCUCUGGCCCGGUUCUGACGCUGAGGCGCGAAAGCGUGGGGAGCAAACAGG